UAUAUUCGCUGCAGGCCUGCCACGUACUAGAAAGGGGUCGUAGACGCAACGAGCUUCCCAUGCAAUAUGUUCCGACGCUCAGGGACAUGAUUCCACUUCACUGAGGCGACGGGUCGUUUGUUGUUGCCUACGAAGCUACCCGUCGCUCUGCUAUCCAACUGACGUAUAAGUUUGGCGCUAUGGUCGCUGCACCUUAAGGAAUGGAUCGAAUGGUGCACUUGUUAGCAGCGUGGUAAAAAUACAUUGAGAAUUUACUAAUACUCAACUUCAGCAUCGUCUUCAUUUGGCUGUGAUAAAAUGGAACAAAACUAUCGGGAAACUCGAAGGGCUGCAUCAGCUAAACAGAGACAUCCAGGCGUUCAUAUAGCAAAACUGGCACACACGAACUAGCCAGGGAUUGGUGAUAUCCUUACGCUUCAGGUCAUCUGUGUCCGUUCGCGCACACGUGAUAAAUAUUCGCCAUUCAAAGCCUACGUAGACGCAUUACGCUCAUUUACGUCCGGCUGCAGUGCUCGAAACACUAAUUACGGAUGCAUUGAAUACUCAACAUAUCUUCAUUUAGCACAGAUGUACAAUGGUCUCAUUCGCUCAGCUAGACAGUCCGUUAGUAAAUCUUCAGUGAUCGCACCUUACGCUUCCCUGCUAGCUUUUGUUUAAACCCCUCACCUCACAGAGCAGUCGCUAUUCAGUCGGUACAUCUGCCUCUCGCGUCAUUCGCUGAUCCUAAUAGAUCCACGAUCCAACAACGCGUGACUAGCGGACACUCACGUAUGACAUAUUUCAACGUAUAUAUAUCUGUCCAAUGUAUGCGUUUCAGUCCAGGCUUUUUACAUACCUUCAAAUUACUUCCUUAUGCAAACCAGAUCUUGCUUAUGAAAUGGUUCAUGAAAACGGCUCAUACCCAGAAAUGCUUUGAGUCUUGCUAUUGCUUCGAGCGUGGAGCGGACAGAAAAUGGCGUUUCGGUUGUCAAGGAAGUGGAACGUUAGCGAAAACGUCAAUCGCACAGAUAUGCUAAAACAACAAUAAGGUCGCCUGGCUAUGUUUCGAGAUAGACAGGCGUUAACACUGUAAUAUAGUGAUCUAUCACUGAAUUACCGACACCCAAUGUAAUACUUUAACAUCUUAAUAUGACCGUUUAAUUAAUAAAGGUGCGCUGCAGCUGACCGAAAAUACUUUACUAAAUUAACGGCAGCAGGUCAUAAAGUAUUUCAACCAACUGAUAGCCAGUUGCUCUUAUAUGUGGGCACCGCAUCCACCCGCAAUGGGGUGGAUAUUUCAAUUUCUAUGUUAAGUAACCUUUUUGUACUCACAUUCGACCGCAACGGUACUCGCAUGGAGAUAGAUUAAAUUUACCCUGGACUCUAUCAUCCAUAUCAGAGCCUCGUACAUCUACUAGAUGUACGCUAUGCGCUUACCACACGCAAGCGUUUCGAUCUGAACCACGACCUUCUCUAUAUAUGUCGUAAUAAUGUUUUCAGAGAUGACUACUUGACGGCUGUUCAAUCGAUAACGCUACACAUGACGCCUCAGAUACAAUCGCCAUUGGACAGAAGCGUGUUCCACUCGUUCGGGUCCUGCUGCGUGUAUUUAACUAUAUACCAUUUUUUCAUUCGCACAUAUAUUAUCGCUCACACGUGUAUGCACGCGUCCACUCCUGCCUUUGCAACAGCGUCAUCGGGUCUGCUGUACAAGAUCUCUUUUGUAGCCUCAUAGUCUAUUGUACCUCACAGGCGUCUUCCCAAUUUUUUUUCACGCCUAUAUCUAAGGCGACGGUGUAAUAUGUACGACAGUUUGCACUUUAUAGCUGUUUUUAUCGGCACGCGAAUCGGGUCAAAAUAAUGAUACAGUUAUUAUAUUGAGGUUCCAAUUCGAACCAUGAAGUAUUCUUCUGCAGCAGUCUAAUCUGGUACACAGUCUGUCAACUAAGUACAUAUACUUGUUUGAUAAAUACAAACACUUAGAUUUUUCAGAGUUUAUCUUUGCAAUUAUUACUAUUAUAUGAUAGUUAUUAUAUUGAUAGUAUAAAGCACGUUACUAAGAUGUGUUACGGUAGAAAUAAGAGAACGUAUCAAUACGUUUUGUAGAAAAGUAGCUAAAACAUA